AGUGAAUAGAUACCCUGGUAGUCCCAGCUGUAAACGAUGCGCGUUAGGUGUAUCGGUGACCACGAGUCACCGAGGUGCCGAAGGGAAACCGUGAAACGUGCCGCCUGGGAAGUACGGUCGCAAGGCUGAAACUUAAAGGAAUUGGCGGGGGAGCACCACAACAGGUGGAGCCUGCGGUUUAAUCGGACUCAACGCCGGGAAGCUCACCGGAUAAGACAGCUGAAUGAUAGCCGGGUUGAAGACUCUGCUUGACUAGCUGAGAGGAGGUGCAUGGCCGUCGUCAGUUCGUACUGUGAAGCAUCCUGUUAAGUCAGGCAACGAGCGAGACCCACGCCAACAGUUGCCAGCAUGUCCUCCGGGAUGGUGGGGACACUGUUGGGACUGCCUCUGCUAAAGAGGAGGAAGGAAUGGGCAACGGUAGGUCAGCAUGCCCCGAAUUAUCCGGGCUACACGCGGGCUACAAUGGUCAGGACAAUGGGUAUCAAC
rnacentral:rRNA from 1 species